rnacentral:pre_miRNA from 1 species
AGCUUUUAAAAUCCAUGCAGAGAUUUCGUCAAACACCAACCCAAUUGGGCUGAUCAGACUCUCAAGGUAGAUGAAGUU